rnacentral:rRNA from 1 species
GAUGAACGCUGGCGGCGUGCUUAACACAUGCAAGUCGAACGAAGCACUUUACUUGAUUUCCUUCGGGGAUGAUUGUUCUGUGACUGAGUGGCGGACGGGUGAGUAACGCGUGGAUAACCUGCCUCACACAGGGGGAUAACAGUUGGAAACGACUGCUAAUACCGCAUAAGCGCACAGCACCGCAUGGUGCAGUGUGAAAAACUCCGGUGGUGUGAGAUGGAUCCGCGUCUGAUUAGCUAGUUGGCGGGGUAACGGCCCACCAAGGCGACGAUCAGUAGCCGGCCUGAGAGGGCGACCGGCCACAUUGGGACUGAGACACGGCCCAGACUCCUACGGGAGGCAGCAGUGGGGAAUAUUGCACAAUGGGGGAAACCCUGAUGCAGCGACGCCGCGUGAGCGAUGAAGUAUUUCGGUAUGUAAAGCUCUAUCAGCAGGGAAGAUAAUGGCGGUAC